CUCUCGGGGUUACAGCCUUGCUGAAUUAUUCACCCUUGUCUUUUGCGUACUUCUUGUUUCCUUGGUGGGUUCGCCCACCACUAGGACAAACAUAAACCUUUUGUAAUUGCAAUCAGCGUCAGUAACAAAUUAAUAAUUACAACUUUCAACAACGGAUCUCUUGGUUCUGGCAUCGAUGAAGAACGCAGCGAAAUGCGAUAAGUAGUGUGAAUUGCAGAAUUCAGUGAAUCAUCGAAUCUUUGAACGCACAUUGCGCCCUUUGGUAUUCCAAAGGGCAUGCCUGUUCGAGCGUCAUUUGUACCCUCAAGCUUUGCUUGGKGUUGGGCGUCUUGUCUCUAGCUUUGCUGGAGACUCGCCUUAAAGUAAUUGGCAGCCGGCCUACUGGUUUCGGAGCGCAGCACAAGUCGCACUCUCUAUCAGCAAAGGUCUAGCAUCCAUUAAGCCUUUUUUCAACUUUUGACCUCGGAUCAGGUAGGGAUACCCGCUGAACUUAAGC
rnacentral:rRNA from 1 species